CCUACGGGAGGCAGCAGUGAGGAAUUUUGCGCAAUGGGGGAAACCCUGACGCAGCAACGCCGCGUGAGUGAUGAAGGCUUUCGGGUCGUAAAGCUCUGUCAAGUGGGAAGAACCCGCAGAAAGGCAAUAUAGUUUUGCGCUGACGGUACCACUGAAGGAAGCACCGGCUAACUCCGUGCCAGCAGCCGCGGUAAUACGGAGGGUGCGAGCGUUAUUCGGAAUUAUUGGGCGUAAAGGGCGCGUAGGCUGCCAUGUAAGUCAGAUGUGAAAUCCCGGGGCUUAACCCCGGAAGUGCAUUUGAAACGAUGUGGCUUGAGUAUGGGAGAGGGAAGUGGAAUUCCUGGUGUAGAGGUGAAAUUCGUAGAUAUCAGGAGGAACACCGGUGGCGAAGGCGACUUCCUGGACCAAUACUGACGCUGAGGCGCGAAGGCGUGGGGAGCAAACAGGAUUAGAUACCCUGGUAGUCCACGCAGUAAACGGUGAUCACUAGGUGUAGCGGGUAUUGACCCCUGCUGUGCUGGAGCUAACGCAUUAAGUGAUCCGCCUGGGGAGUACGGCCGCAAGGUUAAAACUCAAAUGAAUUGACGGA
rnacentral:rRNA from 1 species